rnacentral:rRNA from 1 species
UACGGAGGAUGCAAGCGUUAUCCGGAAUGAUUGGGCGUAAAAGGGUCCGCAGGUGGCAGUGUAAGUCUGCUGUCAAAGAAUGAGGCUUAACCUCAUCAAGGCAGUGGAAACUACACAGCUAGAGUACGGUCGGGGUAGAAGGAAUUCCUGGUGUAGCGGUGAAAUGCGUAGAGAUCAGGAAGAACACCGGUGGCGAAAGCGUUCUGCUAGACCUGUACUGACACUGAGGGACGAAAGCUAGGGGAGCGAAUGGG